GAUGAAGAACGCAGCGAAAUGCGAUACGUAGUGUGAAUUGCAGAAUUCAGUGAAUCAUCGAAUUUUUGAACGCGCAUUGCAGCUCUCGGUAUUCCGGGAGGUAUGCCUGUUCGAGCGUCAUUUGUACCCUCAAGCUCUGCUUGGUGUUGGGUGUUUGUUCCGCCUCUGUGUGUGAACUCGCCUCAAAACAAUUGGCAGCCGGCGUACUUGUUUCGGAGCGCAGCACAUUUUGCGAUCCAGAUCAACGUACAGCGGCAUCCAAGAAGCCUUAUUUAACGCUCUUGACCUCGGAUCAGGUAGGGAUACCCGCUGAACUUAAGCAUAUCAAUAAGCGGAGGA
rnacentral:misc_RNA from 1 species